rnacentral:rRNA from 1 species
CAGUAGCCGCGGUAAUACGGAGGGAGCUAGCGUUGUUCGGAAUUACUGGGCGUAAAGCGCGCGUAGGCGGUUACUCAAGUCAGAGGUGAAAGCCCGGGGCUCAACCCCGGAACUGCCUUUGAAACUAGGUGACUAGAAUCUUGGAGAGGUCAGUGGAAUUCCGAGUGCAGAGGUGAAAUUCGUAGAUAUUCGGAAGAACACCAGUGGCGAAGGCGACUGACUGGACAAGUAUUGACGCUGAGGUGCGAAAGCGUGGGGAGCAAACAGGAUUAGAUACCCCCGUAGUCCCUGUCUCUUAUAC